AAACAAGUGUAUAUGCGUCGGACUAUGUGCGUCGCACGCUAGAAGCACUGACACAAAUGCUAAGGAGGAGCCUAUUUGCAUCGCAAAUAAGAAAAUGUACGAUGCAAAAAAUGACAGUAUAUGGAUGAUAGGGUCAUUUGCGUCGGACUUUUAUGAGAACGCGACGCUGAUGACGAAAGUCAUGUGCGUCAGACACAACUAGAGUGUGAUGCACAUGGCUGGAUCCCAUGAUCUACGUCCCAUGCUAAUUGGAUGCGACAUAGAUCGUUCUUGUCUAAAAGAUGGUGACUUGGAUCAUUAAGUCCUGUGCGUCGGACAUUUGAGCCCGUCUGACGCAAAUGAUGUUAGCCCGUUUAUAUUUUUUGGACUUUCAAACCUAAUCUCUCAUUCACCAAACCAGCUGUUCUAUUUCUCCAACUUCUCUCUCUCUCUCUCUCUCUCCAACUCCUCUCUGUCUCCCCAAAUCCAAAUGAUUCCAGCCGUUUAUUCCUCAAUUCGUUUUCUAAGUUCGAUUUUGGUACUUUUACUCUCUCUAUAAUUUUGUUAAGAUUUGAAGUAUGGUGAUUUCUAGGGUUUUGAUUGAUUUUAUUUGGGGUUUUUGUGUCUACGAUAGUCUGCAGAUAGGAUUUUUGAGAGGAGUGCAUUUGUUUCGGCUGUUGUUGGCGGAUUUUCGAUCUCUCACUCUCGUUGGCGAAGGGCGACUAGAAAAAAAAAGCAAAGGGGUAGUACCACUAGUACAUGCUCAAUGAGAGAUAAAACGAGGCGGGAAAAUAUCUUCAUUUUCUGUCUCUCCUCUCUUCUUAUUCUCAUCAUUGAUCAUCUUCACUUGCUCAAUUGAGGAUUUUAGAUUUAUAAGUUUUCACCGAUUCGACGAAGUAUUUACGGAGCCGACGAGAGUGGCGAUUGAUUAUAAGAUCUGUAAUUUAUUUCAUUCAUCUGUGUUCUAUAAUUUUGUAUUUUUCUCUUUUAUAAUUUUCUGUAAUUUUAUCUUUUAUAAUCUUCUGUAACUUUCUCCUUUUGAUUUUUUGUAAUUUUCUUUUUUGAAUUUUUGUGUAAUUUCUGCAUUUUUUUUGUAAUUAGUGUUUGUAAAAAACACUUCUACUCAGUGUAAAAAAACCAUUUGUACUAUUUUUUUGUAA